GGUUAAGCGACUAAGCGUACACGGUGGAUGCCCUGGCAGUCAGAGGCGAUGAAGGACGUGCUAAUCUGCGAAAAGCGUCGGUAAGGUGAUAUGAACCGUUACAGCCGGCGAUGUCCGAAUGGGGAAACCCAGUGCAAUUCGUUGCACUAUCGUUAACUGAAUACAUAGGUUAACGAGGCGAACCGGGGGAACUGAAACAUCUAAGUACCCCGAGGAAAAGAAAUCAACCGAGAUUCCCCCAGUAGCGGCGAGCGAACGGGGAGCAGCCCGGAGUCUGAAUCAGCUUGUGUGUUAGUGGAAGCGUCUGGAAAGUCGCAGGGUACAGGGUGAUACUCCCGUACACUAAAACACACAGGCUGUGAACUCGAAGAGUAGGGCGGGACACGUGGUAUCCUGUCUGAAUAUGGGGGGACCAUCCUCCAAGGCUAAAUACUCCUGACUGACCGAUAGUGAACCAGUACCGUGAGGGAAAGGCGAAAAGAACCCCGGCGAGGGGAGUGAAAAAGAACCUGAAACCGUGUACGUACAAGCAGUAGGAGCCCACUAGUUGGGUGACUGCGUACCUUUUGUAUAAUGGGUCAGCGACUUAUAUUCUGUAGCAAGGUUAACCGUAUAGGGGAGCCGCAGGGAAACCGAGUCUUAACUGGGCGUUAAGUUGCAGGGUAUAGACCCGAAACCCGGUGAUCUAGCCAUGGGCAGGUUGAAGGUUGGGUAACACUAACUGGAGGACCGAACCGACUAAUGUUGAAAAAUUAGCGGAUGACUUGUGGCUGGGGGUGAAAGGCCAAUCAAACCGGGAGAUAGCUGGUUCUCCCCGAAAGCUAUUUAGGUAGCGCCUCGUGAAUUCAUCUUCGGGGGUAGAGCACUGUUUCGGCUAGGGGGUCAUCCCGACUUACCAACCCGAUGCAAACUACGAAUACCGAAGAAUGUUAUCACGGGAGACACACGGCGGGUGCUAACGUCCGUCGUGAAGAGGGAAACAACCCAGACCGCCAGCUAAGGUCCCAAAGUCAUGGUUAAGUGGGAAACGAUGUGGGAAGGCCCAGACAGCCAGGAUGUUGGCUUAGAAGCAGCCAUCAUUUAAAGAAAGCGUAAUAGCUCACUGGUCGAGUCGGCCUGCGCGGAAGAUGUAACGGGGCUAAACCAUGCACCGAAGCUGCGGCAGCGACACUAUGUGUUGUUGGGUAGGGGAGCGUUCUGUAAGCCGUUGAAGGUGGCCUGUGAGGGUUGCUGGAGGUAUCAGAAGUGCGAAUGCUGACAUAAGUAACGAUAAUGCGGGUGAAAAACCCGCACGCCGGAAGACCAAGGGUUCCUGUCCAACGUUAAUCGGGGCAGGGUGAGUCGACCCCUAAGGCGAGGCCGAAAGGCGUAGUCGAUGGGAAACAGGUUAAUAUUCCUGUACUUGGUGUUACUGCGAAGGGGGGACGGAGAAGGCUAUGUUGGCCGGGCGACGGUUGUCCCGGUUUAAGCAUGUAGGCGGAUGUUCCAGGUAAAUCCGGAACGUCACUAACGCUGAGGUGUGAUGACGAGGCACUACGGUGCUGAAGUGACAAAUGCCCUGCUUCCAGGAAAAGCCUCUAAGCAUCAGGUAACAUCAAAUCGUACCCCAAACCGACACAGGUGGUCAGGUAGAGAAUACCAAGGCGCUUGAGAGAACUCGGGUGAAGGAACUAGGCAAAAUGGUGCCGUAACUUCGGGAGAAGGCACGCUGAUGGUAAGUGAAGUGACUUGCUCAUGGAGCUGAAAUCAGUCGAAGAUACCAGCUGGCUGCAACUGUUUAUUAAAAACACAGCACUGUGCAAACACGAAAGUGGACGUAUACGGUGUGACGCCUGCCCGGUGCCGGAAGGUUAAUUGAUGGGGUUAUCCUCGCGGAGAAGCUCUUGAUCGAAGCCCCGGUAAACGGCGGCCGUAACUAUAACGGUCCUAAGGUAGCGAAAUUCCUUGUCGGGUAAGUUCCGACCUGCACGAAUGGCGUAAUGAUGGCCAGGCUGUCUCCACCCGAGACUCAGUGAAAUUGAACUCGCUGUGAAGAUGCAGUGUACCCGCGGCAAGACGGAAAGACCCCGUGAACCUUUACUAUAGCUUGACACUGAACACUGGUCCUUGAUGUGUAGGAUAGGUGGGAGGCUUUGAAGUGUGGACGCCAGUCUGCAUGGAGCCAUCCUUGAAAUACCACCCUUUAAUGGCUGGUGUUCUAACGUGGGCCCGUGAUCCGGGUUGCGGACAGUGUCUGGUGGGUAGUUUGACUGGGGCGGUCUCCUCCUAAAGAGUAACGGAGGAGCACGAAGGUCAGCUAAUCCUGGUCGGACAUCAGGAGGUUAGUGCAAUGGCAUAAGCUGGCUUGACUGCGAGCGUGACGGCGCGAGCAGGUGCGAAAGCAGGUCAUAGUGAUCCGGUGGUUCUGAAUGGAAGGGCCAUCGCUCAACGGAUAAAAGGUACUCCGGGGAUAACAGGCUGAUACCGCCCAAGAGUUCAUAUCGACGGCGGUGUUUGGCACCUCGAUGUCGGCUCAUCACAUCCUGGGGCUGAAGUAGGUCCCAAGGGUAUGGCUGUUCGCCAUUUAAAGUGGUACGCGAGCUGGGUUUAGAACGUCGUGAGACAGUUCGGUCCCUAUCUGCCGUGGGCGCUGGAGAAUUGAGGGGGGCUGCUCCUAGUACGAGAGGACCGGAGUGGACGCAUCACUGGUGUUCGGGUUGUCAUGCCAAUGGCAUUGCCCGGUAGCUAAAUGCGGAAGAGAUAAGUGCUGAAAGCAUCUAAGCACGAAACUUGCCCCGAGAUGAGUUCUCCCUGACUCCUUGAGAGUCCUGAAGGAACGUUGAAGACGACGACGUUGAUAGGCCGGGUGUGUAAGCGCAGCGAUGCGUUGAGCUAACCGGUACUAAUGAACCGUGAGGCUUAACCUU
rnacentral:rRNA from 1 species